CAGUCGAACGAACUCUGGUAUUGAUUGGUGCUUGCAUCAUGAUUUACAUUUGAGUGAGUGGCGAACUGGUGAGUAACACGUGGGAAACCUGCCCAGAAGCGGGGGAUAACACCUGGAAACAGAUGCUAAUACCGCAUAACAACUUGGACCGCAUGGUCCGAGCUUGAAAGAUGGCUUCGGCUAUCACUUUUGGAUGGUCCCGCGGCGUAUUAGCUAGAUGGUGGGGUAACGGCUCACCAUGGCAAUGAUACGUAGCCGACCUGAGAGGGUAAUCGGCCACAUUGGGACUGAGACACGGCCCAAACUCCUACGGGAGGCAGCAGUAGGGAAUCUUCCACAAUGGACGAAAGUCUGAUGGAGCAACGCCGCGUGAGUGAAGAAGGGUUUCGGCUCGUAAAACUCUGUUGUUAAAGAAGAACAUAUCUGAGAGUAACUGUUCAGGUAUUGACGGUAUUUAACCAGAAAGCCACGGCUAACUACGUGCCAGCAGCCGCGGUAAUACGUAGGUGGCAAGCGUUGUCCGGAUUUAUUGGGCGUAAAGCGAGCGCAGGCGGUUUUUUAAGUCUGAUGUGAAAGCCUUCGGCUCAACCGAAGAAGUGCAUCGGAAACUGGGAAACUUGAGUGCAGAAGAGGACAGUGGAACUCCAUGUGUAGCGGUGAAAUGCGUAGAUAUAUGGAAGAACACCAGUGGCGAAAGCGGCUGUCUGGUCUGUAACUGACGCUGAGGCUCGAAAGUAUGGGUAGCAAACAGGAUUAGAUACCCUGGUAGUCCAUACCGUAAACGAUGAAUGCUAAGUGUUGGAGGGUUUCCGCCCUUCAGUGCUGCAGCUAACGCAUUAAGCAUUCCGCCUGGGGAGUACGGCCGCAAGGCUGAAACUCAAAGGAAUUGACGGGGGCCCGCACAAGCGGUGGAGCAUGUGGUUUAAUUCGAAGCUACGCGAAGAACCUUACCAGGUCUUGACAUACUAUGCAAAUCUAAGAGAUUAGACGUUCCCUUCGGGGACAUGGAUACAGGUGGUGCAUGGUUGUCGUCAGCUCGUGUCGUGAGAUGUUGGGUUAAGUCCCGCAACGAGCGCAACCCUUAUUAUCAGUUGCCAGCAUUAAGUUGGGCACUCUGGUGAGACUGCCGGUGACAAACCGGAGGAAGGUGGGGAUGACGUCAAAUCAUCAUGCCCCUUAUGACCUGGGCUACACACGUGCUACAAUGGAUGGUACAACGAGUUGCGAACUCGCGAGAGUAAGCUAAUCUCUUAAAGCCAUUCUCAGUUCGGAUUGUAGGCUGCAACUCGCCUACAUGAAGUCGGAAUCGCUAGUAAUCGCGGAUCAGCAUGCCGCGGUGAAUACGUUCCCGGGCCUUGUACACACCGCCCGUCACACCAUGAGAGUUUGUAACACCCAAAGUCGGUGGGGUAACCUUUUAGGAACCAGCCGCCUAA
rnacentral:rRNA from 2 species